rnacentral:rRNA from 1 species
CCUACGGGGGGCGGCAGUGGGGAAUAUUGGACAAUGGGGGGAACCCUGAUCCAGCCAUGCCGCGUGUGUGAAGAAGGCCCUCGGGUUGUAAAGCACUUUCAGUGAGGAAGAACGCCUGGUGGUUAAUACCCAUCAGGAAAGACAUCACUCACAGAAGAAGCACCGGCUAACUCCGUGCCAGCAGCCGCGGUAAUACGGAGGGUGCGAGCGUUAAUCGGAAUUACUGGGCGUAAAGCGCGCGUAGGUGGCUUGAUAAGCCGGUUGUGAAAGCCCCGGGCUCAACCUGGGAACGGCAUCCGGAACUGUCAAGCUAGAGUGCAGGAGAGGAAGGUAGAAUUCCCGGUGUAGCGGUGAAAUGCGUAGAGAUCGGGAGGAAUACCAGUGGCGAAGGCGGCCUUCUGGACUGACACUGACACUGAGGUGCGAAAGCGUGGGUAGCAAACAGGAUUAGAUACCCUGGUAGUC